AAAAAGAUAAACCCUGGUUUCCGUGCCUAACGUUUGACCGUUCGUCUUAUUUAAAAAAAUUAAAAAGACAAGUCACGCAUAAAAUAUUAAUCAUGUUUUAUUAUCUAACAACAAUAAAAAUACGAAUUAUAAAAAAAUUUCAUAUAAGACGGACGAUCAAAGUUGAACACGGAAACCCAGGGUUUGUCUUUUU
rnacentral:pre_miRNA from 1 species